AGGUAUGCUUUUUAUCUUCUUUUCUUUUUAUAACUUGAUUUUUGGUUGUCUUCUUGUGUUGCUUUUCAUGUAUGCUGUGAAAAUUGGUUGCAUGGUAAUAGUAGAAGCAGUGGUGGAGAUUAUUAGGACAUUGUUCAGUUGUUCAGUUCACUGAUUGGAUUCUAUUCUUCCCCACCCCCCUCCCUCCCACAACACUUUGGAGGUCCCUUAGUGGAGUAGUCCUUUCCCAUACCGUAAUCCAGCUCCCCUAACCCCAAGCUCAUUGUGGUUUGAACCUGGCGUUUGUAAAUCCCAAGUUCAAACUACUGGGGUGUGCCUGUAAGAACUGCAAGAAGAUGACUUUAAAUGACUCGCAGUUGUGGCAGGUGUGGUUAAUUGCCAUGCCAUAUUCUUGACUCGUACCCAUGAUACAUUUUUCUUCUCUUCCUUUCCUGGUUAGCUCAUAAUUUCUUUUGUGUUUGCACUUAUCUGCAAAUUUUUGUCCCAGCUAUCCUGUUAUUCAUGGACCACUGGCAUAGAUUUAGCUGCUGCUAUGAUCCCAAUUUUAGCUUGAGAUUUAAUCUUCUUGGUUCUAUGCAGGAAUCUUCUCCUAUAUUGGUAUGUUUUACACACAUGUUUGUGUAGAUGACCAACUAUCUUAUUAACCUCAUUAAUGCCAAUUUCACCCUAUUCAGGAAUGGCAAUUGGGCAGAGUGGGUUUAGCAAUUCCCAUAUGAUGUCAUGACUGGUAUAGCUGUUGCUUCUGGUGCCUUUUAGCAAUUCUACGAGAUCAUAGAAGAAAGUAUUUAAUGAUGAUGGUCCCUUGGCAUUUGUUACUCCAAUGUUUAUUUGAUUUAAUACUUUGACUUGUGUGUCAGACCCCUGACAUGCAAAUAAAAAUAGCUCUUUUUUUUUUGGGUUUUCACCACUGUAUGCAAUUCUUAUUGACUUGUGGACUAUACGUUAUAGGGCAAACUUUUGGUAAAAACUGACGAUAUCUUUAUAAGAUAUCUGAAACUUAGAAAAAGGAAAAAGAUGAUGUGGUGUUCAUCUUGAAUGAUUGGGAGAAUAAGUUUAUGAAGAAAGUUAAUGUUGUAAGUCUUCAAUUAUUGAUGGUCGUGGACAUAAUUUUUCUAAGAAGUUUAGAACCACCCCUUCCAUAUAUAAAUAUAUAUAUGGAAGGGGGUGUUCUAAACUUUUAAUAUUGAAGGAAUAUAAGGGCGAAGAAAAUGUCAAAAAGGAAAAUGGGUUGAGCUACUAAGAAGGGAAGUCUUAUACUCAUACUCCUUGACACAAUUUUUAAUGGUAAUACUGGACAGCUUCAUUCAAUUUCACAUGUUUGCAUGUAAUGGUGGAUUGUUUGUAGUGAAUAUGUUGUUUUGUUUCUGCCAAAGGGUUCUCAUUUUUUUCAAUUGGUCCGUUAUUCUCUUCCAGUUUCUGGGGUUCAAAGCCUUUCUUCCAGUGUGCAAAGCACACCUGAGAAAAAUGGGAAUUCAGAUGACGCAUCAAGAAGUCCAGAACUCCUUCAAGAGUUUCUAAAAUCUGGUCCAAAAAGGGAACUUCUUCGAACUUGCUUUGACAAGGACAAGAAGCACACAGCUUCGUCGAAGAGCAAAACAACAGAAUUUGUGAAGAUGAGUAAUAAAACAUUUAAGAAGCAGGAGUCAAAAAAAGUGUCUUUAAGUCCCAAUAAUCAGCCUUCCUCUAAGAAGCAACAAAGAAAGGGGGAAAAUCCCACACGAGUUGUACUGACUUCUGAGCACUCAUCAGAUUUUGGAUGUUCAAACUCAUGGAUAUGUAAAAAUUCUGCUUGUAGAGCUGUCCUAUCCAUUGAUGACACAUUUUGCAAGAGGUGCUCUUGCUGUAUUUGUCAUUUAUUUGAUGAUAAUAAAGAUCCUAGUCUCUGGUUGGUUUGCACAUCUGAAAGUAGCCAGGGAGACUCCUGUGGGUUAUCAUGUCAUAUUGAGUGUGCACUUCAACAUGAAAAGGUGGGUGUUGCUGAUCUGGGGCAAUUGAUGCAGCUAGAUGGUAGUUAUUGUUGCGCUUCCUGUGGUAAAGUUUCAGGGAUACUUGGAUACUGGAAGAAGCAGCUAAUCAUUGCCAAGGAUGCUCGUCGUGUUGAUAUGCUCUGUUAUAGGAUAUAUUUGAGCUACAGGCUAUUGGAUGGGACUUCUAGGUUUAAAGAAUUGCAUGAAAUUGUGAAAGAUGCUAUGGCCAAACUAGAAACAGAAGUGGGCCCAGUGAAUGGUGUUUCUGCAAAGAUGGCACGUGGUAUAGUCAGCAGACUCUCUGUUGCUGCUGAUGUGCAGAAACUUUGCUCUCUUGCAAUUGAUAAAGCGGAGGAGUGGCUGGCUGCCAUUUCUGAUGGAAAAUCAAUUUGCGGAGAUGAUUCACUCCCUGCUGCUUGCAGGUUCUUAUUUGAAGAAGUGACAUCUUCAUCUGUUGUGAUCAUUUUAAUUGAAUUGUCCACUGUAUCAUCUGAUGAUAUUAAGGGCUACAAGCUCUGGUAUUGGAAGAGUAGAGAAGAAACACACACAAAAGACCCAAUUUGUGUGUUUCCAAGAGCUCAGAGGAGGAUUUUGAUAUCCAAUCUGCAGCCUUGCACUGAGUACACUUUUCGAAUUGUUUCAUAUACAGAGGCUGGUGACUGUGGUCACUCCGAGGCUAAGUGUUUUACCAAGAGCAUAGAGGUAAUUCACAGGAAUCCUAUUUCUUCUGUUGCUACGAAUGGCAAGAAGGCAAAUACCCACAUGGGAGGAGGUACUUCUGGUUCAAAAAGAGAGUUUAAAUCUGCAAUGUCUGUAAAUUCUUCAGGAUUCAAGGUUCGAGAACUUGGAAAGAUACUCCAUCUUGCUUGGGCUCAAGAGCAAGGAUUCUUUGAAGGUUUUUGCAGUGAUGAUACACAAAAAUGUUGUGGAGCUAGCAAAGUGAUGAAGUCUGAAACUUUAGAAGAUCAGUUGCCAUCUGUUUUGUGUGGGCUUGACUUAAAUAUUGUUUCUGUGCCUGAUUUGAAUGAAGAGCUGACUCCUCCAUUUGAGUCGUCCCGCGAUGAAGAUAAUGGGUAUGCUUUGGAACAGGCUGUUGAGGCGGAUGACGAUGCUGCUUCUCAUGACAUAAAGAAGAAUGGUUUAGCAAGAUCACAUGGAAGUGAUGACUCCCAGACCUGGACCGGUAGGCCAAGUGGAGAAGUGUCGGCUGUUGAUUCCCGGGCAGAACUGUGCAGGAAAAGGGCUGCACAUUCCAAUGAGGAGAUGAAUGACUGUGUUAGCACUUUGAUAAAUGGAUCACCAUUCCGUGUUUCCAAUGGCUCAGGUUGCUUGGAUGACAACUUUGAGGACUGUGUAAAGAUAAUCCGAAUGUUGGAAUGUGAGGGUCACAUUAACCAGGAAUUCAGGUUGAAAUUACUGACCUGGUUUAGUUUGAGAUCAACAGAACAAGAACGUCGAGUGGUUAACACUUUCAUUCAAACUUUGAUUGAUGAUCCUAGUAGUUUGGCAGGACAGUUAGUUGACUCUUUUUCAGAUAUCAUAUCCAGCAAGAGGCCAAGAAAUGGUUUCUGUAGCAAGCUGUGGCAUUAAAUUAGGGCAGGGCAUCCAAAAAUACAGGAUUGCAAUUUUCUUCACGGUUAUUUUCCCCAUGUGACAAAUUACUUCUGAUUGAUUUGCUGCUCUUUGUACAGGCAUUUUUUCUUGAUCACUUUGGGGAAGCGAUUCAUUUAUGUUAUGGACUGGUUUGUCCAGCUAAAAGAUUGGUUGCUGAUUGCAGAGAUGGUUCCCAAUUUUCUUGAAGGCAAUGUCCUUGGAUGGAAGGCUUCAUGCUGUAAAAGGCAUUUGCAUGUGAGAAUUCCCCCUCUAGAAGGCAUUUGCAUUUGAAGCAGCAGACUUUAGUGAUGAACGUCUGUAUUUAUAUGUGGAUACUGUUAUUGUUUUGCCUUCUGUAAUUGAAAGAAGGGAACGUUAAUUGAUGGCUGAAUUUAGUGUUUACAUUUUCUUCCCCUUUGUUGUCUUGUCUUAUCCUUAUAAGUUUUCAAAUGAGCUAGGAAUGGCAACACAUUGGUAUGAUUGAACCUAUUAACACGGGUUUGGACAAUGUAUAAUAAGGAUUAUGAUGGAUUUGAGUUUAGUGAAUAAUACUUAGAUUUGAAUUGG
rnacentral:misc_RNA from 1 species